AAAAGAAAGCAGAGGAGAGGAGCAGAGAAGGCCAGAGUGAACUGAGUUACUGAGAAAAGAAAAAAAGGAAUAUGAAUAAUUUUCAAGUUCUACCAAAGUCAAACUGUUCUUAAGGCAGAUUUUUCUUUGCGGUGUUUUUAUCCUCUAGACAAUUUAAGAGCAUUCAGGAACAUUUUCAGCACGUUUUUGUAAUGUCUGCCUCAUCUCAGCUGCUCUAAAACACCCAACAGGUGUCGGGGGGGGAAUCACCUCCUUAAAGGCACUCAGAAAAUCCCAGUGUUUGUGUUGAACACUGACAAGUCUACCUUGAUGAAGGAGUGGAGAGACUUCCCAUACAUGGUCAGGAAUUCCCUUCUGAUAUGCAGCAUAUCAAUUUCGGAGCGGGACACCAUCACUCUGAUCAGAGUGCUGUCGUCUGUUCCCAGGCCCUGGAAAGCAAAGCAGCCGCGUGCAGCCGACACAGAACUGCUGGAGAAUCACCUGCAGACACAAAGGGCUCAGGGCCCAUCCUGUGCAGGAGCUGCUCUUAAUCAGAGCCUUUUUGUGACCGUUAGCAGCUUGCUCCUGGACUGUUACUCUGAUGUGCAGAAAAGCCUGAGCUUUCCUAGAAAAGCCAGUCUCCUGGCUGGCUGCAGCUUCCAUCUUGACUGCCAUGAUGCUGCUGACUCCAGCACGAAAAUGCAAGAAAGAAGCAAGCAAUCUCACUCCACAAUCUCUUUACCUUCAUGGAUUUAUACAGCCGUUCAGCAAAGUAUGCAGGCUUGUUUCGCAUGCACUUGACUGGAGGAGAGACAAGAGAGACGAUUAAGAGCAUUAACAAGAGAAUUAAGGCCAGCAGGAGGUUUUCCACACCAAUGCAGCACCUUCUGGGUGCAGGUGUUUCUUCUGUCAAGAUGCAACUCCAGGUUAACAAACAGCAGCUGCAGUGCAGGCAUCCACAGUGAUGUGCUGUGAGCUGCUGUCUCUGUGCCUGCAGGAUUUGCACAAAGGCUUUCGUGCCUCCUGACAGCAAACCUCUGCUGCCAAAGCUCCCUUUGGCCAAGCACACCGUGCCAUAAGGUACAAAGCUUUCUCACCUGACUGGGUCUGUAAAGCACAGAAUCAUAGAGUGGUUUGGGUUGGAAGGGACCCCUAAGAUCAUCGAGUUCCAACCCCCUGCAGUAGGCAGGGACACCUCCCUCUACACAGGGUGCUGCACGUCCCACCCAGCCUGGCUUUGUGCCCAUAAACAAAGACAAACCUAUUCAUAACAGUCACUCAAGGGGACUCACAGCACCUCUCAUCAUUUCAUUCCUUUGUGGACAACGUUUAAAAGCAGAGCACUCACCCACAGCCAGCAAAGCAUCUUCCAGGUCUCCUGACAUCUCAGAUUUAAUGCUGUCUGUUAUGUCCUUGUUAGCAAUGCCUCUGUACAGAUCAAAAACUGGGAGGAAGAGUCCACGGCAGAAAGUCAGAGAGAUUCAAAGGACUUCUUUACAACAACAAGCUCCUCAUGUGAUGCACGAACACCAUAUGAUUCCUGCAGCACUGUCAGCUAAACCAGAAUCGUCCCACAGAAAUAAUCCAUUUUCAUUGCUAACAGACUUGCUAAUUGCCUACCACAGCUGUUACCAUUUUCAAGACCUGCUGCUUUGUGCUGCCAAUCAAGUUUCUUAGCUUCUCUCCCCCCUGCCCCAAUGGCAGUCACACCUCAUGAUCUCUGCUUUCCAUGCUGGAGCAGCAGCCAGUUGUACUGAGGUUUCUGAAGCCCCUUUCAGUCUCAGGAGGGAAUAAAGCAGCCCAAAUGGAAUGGAUGCACUGGGGCUCACUGCAGGACACCUGCUGCCUCAGAGGAGUUCACAGCUACUGAACAGCUACGGAGCUCCUACAAGAGCAUCACACAAACGAGGAAGGAAAGGAAAAGCCAGGACGCUGUGCAGGGGGGUCCUACCUCUCAGCAGGUGAUACCUGUUCCGUGUACAGAGGAUGGACAUAAACUGCACCUCAUCUGUUCCCCAUUUCUUCUCCCCCGCUUCGUACAGGCACUUAAAGACAUUAUGGGUGACAAAGUAAGGCUCAUGGAGAAGACUGAAGUACAGGAGAUCUUAAACUCCUGCAGCUAGAGCACUGCUGGUCUGUACUUGUCCAGAUCACAGGGAUUUUCCAACCAGCACCAACCAGGCAUGGCAACCCACAACCAAAAUGUCACUGCCCCUGCCAAGUAACCAGCCUGCCUAGAGAUCUCUCAUUAGAGACUUGCAAACAAGACUAGAACCAUUAUUCCUAUGUCACAGGUUGGCUUCUCUUCACCACGCAUCACAUGCACAAGAACAGAUUGGGAAGCACGUUACUACACACCUGAGCAUCUUGGUGAGCAAGGCCUUCAUCCACAUACAUGCCUUCAUCUCUGUUUCCCUGCAAAGACACAAGGAUAGAAGACUCCGUUCACCAGAGCAUCUACUGGAAGCAACUCCUGGGAAUUCCCCGUUCAGGAACAGCUGCUGGAGAUGGAUAAUGGAGUCCUUCAAAGGGAACACAGCUCACAAAUGAAACACAGCUCAGGUGUGCUUCGGGCUUUCUUCCGAAAUGAGCAGCAACCCACUUUACUGGGGCAUUUAAGAAGAGCCCACAGCACUCACACACACCCAGAGUCAGAGCUCCCUCCCUGGAGAAGCUGGGCUUGAGGAGCAGCCAUGGGACACACAGGGUGAGAAAAAGCCAGCCUGGAGCUCCUCACCACUGAGUGCAGAGCCGUGCCCACAGCUCUGAACAUUCAGCCCCUUCUCCCCUCAGCGUGGCUCACCGUUGCGAGGGACACGAGGACCCUUCGAAACAUGGAAGAUGUGUCAGACACGAUGUCAUCCUCAAGGGAGCAGCCAUAUUCUAGCAAGAACACACACAGCAUCCGUUAGGAGCAGGGCCACCACCUGGCUGCUGCCCACAACAUUUGCCAGCUGUAAGCUAGUUAAGUGCAGAACUGUGCCAGGGCUCUCAGCAUCACUGCAGCGCUCCAGCCAUCAUCAUCAGUGCUGCAGCCUCCAAUUAAGAAGCACAGACAGCAAGAAGCUGACAAGAGAGCCACACGUCCUGCUGACAGACAGAAUGCUCCUCCCCAUGUCAGCUCCACCAGUUCAGCUGCUGGUGAAAUCCCAGUCUAGCUUCUCUUUGGACAAACAGCAACACCCAGGUUGGCAAGUUUGUCACACCUGAAAGCUCCCCAGACUCCUUCCUUCACAUCUGCCUGCACACACACACUUAUGGCAGGCAGCAGGACAAGGCCUGGCCUUUUGUUCGACUUACGAAGCUUGUAGUUCUCAUUAAUGCGACGAAUCUCUUCAUUGGUGCGAGAAGCCAGAAUUUCAAUCAGGCAGCCUUCAUCUGUUCCUGCUCCCUAGGAAUCGCCAAGGCAAGAUUUCAGAUACCAGCAACUGCUCGUGACGUGCAGCCGGGUUUCUUUAAGAGGUAGUAAUAAAUGAGAAGUCAUACAUAACAAAGCAGCGAGUCCUCGGCCAGAACUUAAGCAAUACAAAAGGAAGACUUCCAAACCUUCACAGCCCUCUUUAGUUCGUGCACGUCAUACAUGGUGGUGGGAGUCAUCAUCCCAAUGAUCACCCUCUCAAAAUUCCCACUCAGUUCCGACUUCAAGUCAUCGAUCAAAUCCUAGAAGGCCAAGAGAGGAGAAAGCAGUUGGCAGAAGGCACGGCCUUCGAGGACAGAAGGAACUGAGCUGUGCAGCACUUCUCUUCAGGCUCCAACCCUCCUUGCAUCAACAACUGCUCUGAACUGAACAGGAACAAAACAGCCUUGGUCAGCAGCCUGUUCUAGUGGGACUUCCCAGGCAUAUCAGAAAGAAGCCACAGAGGCACAACUACAAAGAGAACAUUUCUCCACAUCGCUGCCCAUGGAGGAUCUGGUUUCCAGUGAAACAACAGCUGGACCAUCUGGCAUCUGUGUUCAGGCCCACCAGGCCUUCUUCCUAGCAGUUCUCCACGUCAAUCACAGUGUGCUCCCAUCACAGCCCUACUCCUGACUUGUACCAGGUAAGGACCAUCAUUCUGCACCAUUACUUUUGCUCUGCUUGGCAAUGGUGAGGCUGCACCUGGAGAACAGAGUCCAGGUCUGGGCUCCCAGUCCAAGAGACAGCUGGACAUACUGCAAAGAGUCCAAUGGAGGGCUACCAAGAUGGUGAAGGGACUGGAACACCUCUUCUAGGACAAGAGGCUGAAAGAGAGGGGGCUGCUCAGCCUGGAGAAGGGCAGCUCAGGGGGAACCCAGCCACAGCCAUCAAUCCUGCAAGGGCAGAGAGGAUGGAGCCAGGCUGCAUCCCGUGGAGCCCACUGCCAGGACCAGAGGCUGCCACCAAACAUCAGGAGCACUCCUGCACUGUAAGCUGCAGCACUGGCACAGGCACCCAGAGAGGCUGCAGUGUCUCCUCUUGGAGAUCUCCAAACCCAUCUGGACGCGGUCCUGGGCACCAGUUCUGGUAGCUUUGUUGGAGCAGGGCUGGACCAGAGGUCCCCUCCAACAUCAGCCAUGCAGUGCUUCCACAACACACACAACAUGCUGCGUUUGGCUCAAAACGGCCAUUCACAAACAGGUUUCUCCUGCCUCCUGCUCAGUGCCACCUCUGUGGGAUCACACUGCCUCCUACGAUCCACCUCUGUUCCAACAAAGAUCAACAGCAAAACAGUGCUGACCUUCACGAAGCCUGGGCUUUGGAAAACAGGCACAGGAAUAACCACUGCAUGGGUGGAACCCCGUAGGAUGAACCAGGAGGGAGCAGCAUGCCCAGAGAGUUGAUCUGGAAAAAUACUUCCUCUAUAAGCUAACAUUCAGUUGGAUUUUUUAUUAACUCCCAAGCAGGAAAAGCAGAUAUGUGUGGGGCAUUGUCCUCUAUAGGAGGAAACAGAAAGAUGUUACAAAUUUACCACUCAUAAAAAGAAAGUGCUCUUCCUGCCCUACCCUACAUUUAUCUGAUCAGGGCAAAUGCCUGGCACAGCGUGGCACAGCAAACAGGCACACUCACCAUCGCUCAAGUGCUUGGUCAAUCUCUUAUUGUUCAGGUCCACCAGCUGCUGGCAACUGCAAUAGAAACCAGAGAGAGCAUCAGUUUUCUAGCAAGCAGCUCUUAGAAGGUGCCACCCCUGCCAUUUCGUGGUGCUGGUUAAGUGACUGUAAGGCACAGCGAUAAACACAUGAUUUCCCAAUCUGAAAGCAACGCCUGAACAGCACUACAGAAUGCCCACAAACACACACUGCAGCGCACUGAACCACCAAGGGCUGCCUCACAGCACGACAGCAGCUCUGCGUGAGAGAGGGAUGCAGAUCAAGGCAGCAGGGCGUAAGAAAUGCCUUUUUUAUUCCUAGAGUGACAGCCUGGCUGAGGUUACAAGCAGCAGACGGCCGCUCCUGUGCUGCUGUCAGUGAGCCCAGCCCUUGUGCAAGAGCAGCAGUGCCUGUGCUCGCCCUGCAUGUGACUCUUACACAUCUGGAACAUCAUCACAGUGCGCUGCCCUGCCAAGCAAGCUCAGCACGGCGUUGCCACACAGGCGCUCCUCAGCACUCGACUUGUUCUCUCCUUCAUGGAAUUGUGGAUCUCUGGGCAACCUAUGACCCAGGCAUCACAAAAAUAAAGCUUCCGCCCUUCUCGA